UGGGGAAUAUUGGACAAUGGGCGAAAGCCUGAUCCAGCAAUGCCGCGUGAGUGAUGAAGGCCUUAGGGUUGUAAAGCUCUUUUACCAGGGAUGAUAAUGACAGUACCUGGAGAAUAAGCUCCGGCUAACUCCGUGCCAGCAGCCGCGGUAAUACGGAGGGAGCUAGCGUUGUUCGGAAUUACUGGGCGUAAAGCGUACGUAGGCGGUGACUCAAGUCAGAGGUGAAAGCCUGGAGCUCAACUCCAGAACUGCCUUUGAAACUAGGUCGCUAGAAUCACGGAGAGGUGAGUGGAAUUCCGAGUGUAGAGGUGAAAUUCGUAGAUAUUCGGAAGAACACCAGUGGCGAAGGCGGCUCACUGGACGUGUAUUGACGCUGAGGUACGAAAGCGUGGGGAGCAAACAGGAUUAGAUACCCAGGUAGUCCCUGAGCGGGCUGGCAAGGCGCAU
rnacentral:rRNA from 1 species